CGCGCGCUCUCAUAACGCUUUCAUCGAUCAUAGUAGCGUCAACGCCAUCUGGAUGUUUGGAUCCCUUUUACUAGCUGAUUCGGCCCUUCAACGCCCAAAUUAUGAGCUGUAGUAUUCAUGAAUCUAUCGAGUUGGGCAGAUAGCAAGGGGCAUCGGGCCCGUCACCGACGAUUGACUUCAUCUACACCAGUUCCUCCCGGUGUAAUUAACCUGCCUCACAAGGCACUACAAGGGAGAGCCAUCCUGCAUAUAUGAUGCAAAUGAGCCACCCGUGGGAUCAUGGCCCAUAUUCCAUCAUAUGGUGUUUACUUGGGCGCAAGCUCUAGUGUGUACGUCAUGUGACAAAACAGCGCCAUAUGUGGCUAAACGUCAUAAAACUCCUACAGGCAGGCAACUGUGGACCACUGAUA